UGCACUUCGUUGCAAACUCUUCCAAAUAUAUUUGCAAAACACAAUAUCCAGAAGAGUUUUUACAUAGGUUUCUCCAAUUGCUCCAAAUUGAAUUACUUUCAAAGUAAAAUUACCGCGGCAUUUACAUGGCUGAGGAGUUACUUGCUUUGGUUAUAUGAAAUUCGGAAGCUACUGAAGAUACGGGAAAGUCUCCAAAGUGAAAAGGAGUUCGAAGAAAUUUGCCAUCAGAGAUGCGGUAGUCCAUACCCUCGACUCCCUGACUUCUAUAUAUACGUACCAGGAAGUGUAAUUCCUGAUUGGUUCAGCAAUCAGGGAGUCAAGAGCCCUUUGAGAAUGCAACUACCUCCACAUGAAAAUUGGUGGAAUAUUGCGGGUUUUGCAGUUUGUGCUAUUGUUGGGGAGAGAAAAUGCCAUGAACCUAUUUGUUGCAUUGCAGUCAAUAGUAAAAGUGGGGUGGCUUGGAAUAGGCGUUACAAAGUCCCCAUUCCUGGAGCUUCGAAAGUUGCAUUGGAUCACCUUAGCCUGUUCUUCGCUGUAAAUGACAAGCUAGAUCUGCACAAGGAAGACAGUCCAACUGAGCUGGUUCUUGAUUUCCCAGAAGAUGAAAUCAAGAAGUGUGGAAUCCGUGUGGUACACGACGAAGAAAUACAAGAGCUAAUCCAAUACAACAAACCCUUGGAAAUUUUAAGUGAAGAAAGAAAUGAAGUAAGUGUAAGGGUAGAGGAAGAUAAAGUCUCAAGAAGAAACAAGGAGAAACGAAAUGAUAACGCAAGCUGUGGAGAAGAUAAGUGCAUUGAUUCUUGAGAGGGACCCUCCAGAAAGAGGCUUCUAGGCGAUUGAUGA
rnacentral:misc_RNA from 1 species